rnacentral:rRNA from 1 species
CGUGAGUAAUAUAUCGGAACGUGCCCAGUAGCGGGGGAUAACUACUCGAAAGAGUGGCUAAUACCGCAUACGCCCUACGGGGGAAAGGGGGGGAUCGCAAGACCUCUCGCUAUUGGANCGGCCGAUAUCGGAUUAGCUAGUUGGUGGGGUAAAGGCUCACCAAGGCAACGAUCCGUAGCUGGUUUGAGAGGACGACCAGCCACACUGGGACUGAGACACGGCCCAGACUCCUACGGGAGGCAGCAGUGGGGAAUUUUGGACAAUGGGGGAAACCCUGAUCCAGCCAUCCCGCGUGUAUGAUGAAGGCCUUCGGGUUGUAAAGUACUUUUGGCAGAGAAGAAAAGGUAUCCCCUAAUACGGGAUACUGCUGACGGUAUCUGCAGAAUAAGCACCGGCUAACUAC